rnacentral:rRNA from 1 species
GACGAACGCUGGCGGCGUGCUUAACACAUGCAAGUCACGGGGGCCCGCAAGGGCAACCGGCGAACGGGUGCGUAACACGUGAACAAUCUGCCUAGAUGUGGGGGAUAGCCGGCCCAACGGCCGGGUAAUACCGCAUACGCUCACCGAGUGGCAUCGCUUGGUGAGGAAACCUCCGGGGCAUCUAGAGGAGUUCGCGGCCUAUCAGCUAGUUGGUGGGGUAACGGCCUACCAAGGCGAUGACGGGUAGCUGGUCUGAGAGGAUGGCCAGCCACAUUGGGACUGAGAUACGGCCCAGACUCCUACGGGAGGCAGCAGUGGGGAAUAUUGCGCAAUGGCCGAAAGGCUGACGCAGCGACGCCGCGUGGGGGAUGAAGCAUUUCGGUGUGUAAACCCCUGUUGCCCGGGACGAACAACUGGAUUCAUCCAGUCUGACGGUACCGGGUGAGGAAGCACCGGCUAACUCCGUGCCAGCAGCCGCCGUAAGAC